rnacentral:rRNA from 1 species
UACGAAGGGGGCUAGCGUUGCUCGGAAUUACUGGGCGUAAAGCGCACGUAGUCGGCUUUGCAAGUCGGUUGUGAAAUCCCCGGGCUCAACCUGGGAACUGCAUCCGAGACUGCAUUGCUAGAGUAUGGGAGAGGAAAGCGGAAUUUCUGGUGUAGCAGUGAAAUGCGUAGAUAUCAGAAGGAACAUCAGUGGCGAAGGCGGCUUUCUGGACCAAUACUGACGAUCAGGUGCGAAAGCGUGGGGGAGCAAACAGG